AAAAAGAUAAGCUAAUUAAGCUAAUGGGUUCAUACCCCAUUUAUAAAGGUUUUAAUCCUUUUCUUUUUA
rnacentral:tRNA from 4 species